rnacentral:rRNA from 1 species
CAGCAGCCGCGGUAAUACGUAGGUGGCAAGCGUUGUCCGGAAUUAUUGGGCGUAAAGCGCGCGCAGGCGGAUCAGUCAGUCUGUCUUAAAAGUUCGGGGCUUAACCCCGUGAUGGGAUGGAAACUGCUGAUCUAGAGUAUCGGAGAGGAAAGUGGAAUUCCUAGUGUAGCGGUGAAAUGCGUAGAUAUUAGGAAGAACACCAGUGGCGAAGGCGACUUUCUGGACGAAAACUGACGCUGAGGCUCGAAAGCGUGGGGAGCAAACAGGAUUAGAUACCCGUGUAGUCCCUGUCUCUUAUACA